UAAGCCUGUAGCCCAAACCCAAUUAAUAACCCUACAUUUUUUUUUCGGAUGAGCAUAAACCCUACUUUCUUUACUCAGCCGCCGCACUCCCAUCUUUUCCUUCAUCUUUUUUUUUUCUUCCUUUUUUCUUCUUCUUCUCCGCAGGAAACGAUGGCUCCUCCCUUGAAACGGUUGUCAACGCUGCGCCUUGGAUUGUGACCGUUGCUGCCACCACCAUUGACAGCUUUAGUGAAGGUUCGAUCCAUAUCAGAUGCAGUGAAAGUUGCUGCUGGAGUUUCUCUUGC